GUGCUUUUAUUUUUCCUGGCCCAAUGGGUCAGUGCUUCUGGCUGUUAACCAGAAGGUUGGUGGUUAGUGCCUACCCAAGUACA